UACAGAGGUGGCAAGCGUUGUUCGGAAUUACUGGGCGUAAAGGGCGCGUAGGCGGCCCGUCAAGUCCCGUGUGAAAGCCCCCGGCUCAACCGGGGAACGGCGCGGGAAACUAGCAGGCUUGAGUUCGGGAGAGGGAAGCGGAAUUCCGGGUGUAGCGGUGAAAUGCGCAGAUAUCCGGAGGAACACCGGUGGCGAAGGCGGCUUCCUGGACCGACACUGACGCUGAGGCGCGAAAGCUAGGGGAGCGAACAGG
rnacentral:rRNA from 1 species